rnacentral:rRNA from 1 species
GACGAACGCUGGCGGCGUGCUUAACACAUGCAAGUCGAACGGAAAGGCCCUGCUUGCCGGGUACUCGAGUGGCGAACGGGUGAGUAACACGUGGGUGAUCUGCCCUGCACUUCGGGAUAAGCCUGGGAAACUGGGUCUAAUACCGGAUAGGAGCCAUUUUUAGUGUGAUGGUUGGAAAGUUUUUUCGGUGUAGGAUGAGCUCGCGGCCUAUCAGCUUGUUGGUGGGGUAAUGGCCUACCAAGGCGGCGACGGGUAGCCGGCCUGAGAGGGUGGACGGCCACAUUGGGACUGAGAGACGGCCCAGACGCCGACGGGAGGCAGCAGUGGGGAAGAUUGCACAAGGGGCGCAAGCCGGAUGCAGCGACGCCGCGGGGGGGAUGACGGCCUUCGGGUUGUAAACUCCUUUCGCUAGGGACGAAGCUUUUUGUGACGGUACCUAGAGAAGAAGCACCGGCUAACUACGUG